GGUAGCGUGUCCGAGCGGCCGAAGGAGCGCGCCUCGAAAGCGCGUGAUGUGCAAGCAUCCGUGGGUUCAAAUCCCACCGCUACCG
rnacentral:tRNA from 1 species